rnacentral:rRNA from 1 species
CCUACGGGAGGCAGCAGUGGGGAAUUUUGGACAAUGGGCGAAAGCCUGAUCCAGCAAUGCCGCGUGAGUGAAGAAGGCCUUCGGGUUGUAAAGCUCUUUUGUCAGGGAAGAAACGGUGAGAGCUAAUAUCUCUUGCUAAUGACGGUACCCGAAGAAUAAGCACCGGCUAACUACGUGCCAGCAGCCGCGGUAAUACGUAGGGUGCAAGCGUUAAUCGGAAUUACUGGGCGUAAAGCGUGCGCAGGCGGUUUUGUAAGUCUGUCGUGAAAUCCCCGGGCUCAACCUGGGAAUUGCGAUGGAGACUGCAAGGCUAGAAUCUGGCAGAGGGGGGUAGAAUUCCACGUGUAGCAGUGAGAUGCGUAGAGAUGUGGAGGAACACCGAUGGCGAAGGCAGCCCCCUGGGUCAAGAUUGACGCUCAUGCACGAAAGCGUGGGGAGCAAACAGGAUUAGAUACCCUGGUAGUCCACGCCCUAAACGAUGUCUACUAGUUGUCGGGUUUUAAUUAACUUGGUAACGCAGCUAACGCGUGAAGUAGACCGCCUGGGGAGUACGGUCGCAAGAUUAAAACCUCAAAUGAAUUGACGGCUGAGACAGCGACGACGACGACGAGGGAGGAGG